rnacentral:rRNA from 1 species
AGUGAACGCUGGCGGUAGGCCUAACACAUGCAAGUCGAACGGCAGCACAGUAAGAGCUUGCUCUUACGGGUGGCGAGUGGCGGACGGGUGAGGAAUACAUCGGAAUCUACUUUUUCGUGGGGGAUAACGUAGGGAAACUUACGCUAAUACCGCAUACGACCUACGGGUGAAAGCAGGGGAUCUUCGGACCUUGCGCGAUUGAAUGAGCCGAUGUCGGUUUAGCUAGUUGGCGGGGUAAAGGCCCACCAAGGCGACGAUCCGUAGCUGGUCUGAGAGGAUGAUCAGCCACACUGGAACUGAGACACGGUCCAGACUCCUACGGGAGGCAGCAGUGGGGAAUAUUGGACAAUGGGCGCAAGCCUGAUCCAGCCAUACCGCGUGGGUGAAGAAGGCCUUCGGGUUGUAAAGCCCUUUUGUUGGGAAAGAAAAGCAGCAGGUUAAUACCACGCUGUUCUGACGGUACCCAAAGAAUAAGCACCGGCUAACUUCGUG